rnacentral:rRNA from 1 species
UACGUAGGGACCAAGCGUUGUUCGGAUUUACUGGGCGUAAAGCGCACGUAGGCGGCUUUCUAAGUCGGGGGUGAAAUCCUGGAGCUCAACUCCAGAACUGCCUUCGAUACUGGAGAGCUCGAGUCCGGGAGAGGUGAGUGGAACUGCGAGUGUAGAGGUGAAAUUCGUAGAUAUUCGCAAGAACACCAGUGGCGAAGGCGGCUCACUGGCCCGGUACUGACGCUGAGGUGCGAAAGCGUGGGGAGCAAACAGG